rnacentral:tRNA from 1 species
GUUGUUGUAGUCCAACGGUUAGGAUAAUUGCCUUCCAAGCAAUAGACCCGGGAUCAACUCUUGGCAAACGCA